CGCUGGGACUGCAGAGAUUUUCUCUAAGCUUAGGAAUAAAUUGCAUUUUACUUGCCAAAAGCCCUUCUUGGAUCUUGGUGAGAAGACAAUGGGGUCGAAUUGAUCACUGCACUCCAGCCUGGGUGACAGAAUGAGACCCUGUCUCAAAAAGAAAAAGAAGAAAGAAAGAGAGAAAAGAAAAGAAAGAAAAGAAAAGAAGAAAGAAAGAAAGAAAGAAAAGAAAAGAAGAAAGAAAAAAAGAAAGAAAGAAGAAAGAAAGGAAGGAAGGAAGAAAGAAAGAAAGAAAGAACGAAAGAAAGAAAGAAAGAAAGAAAGAAAGAAAGAAAGAAAAAAGAAAGAAAGAAAGAAAGAUUACACUGAUGUGCUCACAUCAGUAAUAUGAGAAUGGUUUGGAAUGGUUUGAUGUUAUGUAGCAAUGGCUAACUGACAUAGCUACUUGCUAGCUCUUUGAAUUUGGGCAAUUUACUUAAACUUUCUAGGCCUUGAUUUCUGUGUCUAUAUAAUGAGGAUGAUAAUAAUAGUAGCUAACUCAUAGGAGUAUCAUGAGGAUUACAGAAAUUAACAUACGCGAAGGACUUAGAACAUUGCCUGCCACAUACAAGCAGCUACCAUUUUUGAACACUUACUUUUAAGUGCUAUGAUAAAUAUUUUUCCUAAAUGUUCUCAUUGUCAUCACAAAAGUCCUAUGAAGAUAAUAUUAUUGUUAUUCACAUUUUACAGGAAAAAGUGAGGCUCUGAGAAAUUGAGUAAUGUGCUGCAGUUUACUCAGCUGAUAAAUAGCAGAUGUGGAACUUAAUUCAGUUGCCUAACUUCCGAGCCUGCUGACUCCAUGAUUAGGUUAUACCACGCUGCCUGUGAGGCUGCGCCUUGGAACUGUGAGAUUAACUGAGCUAAGGCAAUUCUCCUCCCCGGCACGGAACUGUCCCUUAAGUGGCAUCCCAUUACAAUCAUAAGAUUAAUCCACACAUUGUUGCUUUUCUCAAAGAUUAAAUUAAAUCAUUCUCCAGGUUACAGAUCAAAGCUUGAAAAUCACCAACACUGUGAAUCAAGAAACAUCUUUUCUAAAUGAUGGGGACUCCAACUCCAUUAUCCAGCGCCUAACCGCCGUAUAUCUCUUACCCUCAGGAGCACACCUCAGUUAUCUGAGGCUUAAGCAACUUUCCAAGGUGAAUGGCCAGGAUUCCAACCCAACAUUCCGGCUCCACAGCUGGGACUGGAGAACUGCUUUGCUGUAGUCUGUUCUGCCCCAUCUCACCAAGGUGAAUAAUAUGACCCUGACUUUGAAGAGCUCAGUUUAAUAGGAGAGCAAAAGCCAUGAAGAAAGAAGUUAUGGAGGAAUACCAUAUGUGCUACAAUCAAAGUAAGAACACUGUGUCUUAGAAUCAUGCAAGUUGGGAGCAAUUAACUCUGUACAGGGACAUCUGGGAAGGCUUCACUGAGGAGGUGAUGUUUUUGCUGGAUUUUGAAAGUUGGCAUUCUCCUCCUCGCACCUCAACCCCCAAUUUUUUCUAAAAAAGAGGAGAAAGAGGUGUUCUAGGCAGAGAGAACAGCAUGUGUAGCCACAAAAAAAAAAAAAGAGAGAGAGAGAGAAGGGAAAAGUCUGAGAAUGAAGGCUGUCCAGGCAGGAGAUACGUCUGGAGAGGGACUUGGGUCAGGUCAGAGACCCCCUUGUGUGUCAGGAUUAAAGCUGGACUUUAUUUUAGAGUCAAAAGUGAACCGCUGAGGGGUUCUAACGUAGCCACAAAGUGCUCAGAUCUGUGCUUUAGAGCUGAAGACUGGCACAGUGUGGAAAAUGAACCAGCACAGGGAGAGGCUGGGGUAGGGAGACCCGCCGGGAAAUUGUGGUAUCUGAUUGGAGAGGAUGAGAGAGUCCUCUAAGGAAGCCUUGGUGAGCCUGUGCAGAAGCUGGACCCAACGCAUUUGGGUCUGAGGGAUUUCGAUGCACUCAAUACAUGCAUGUUAAAGGCAUAAAGAUGGAAGGAGAGCAGUAGGAAAGGGCGAGUGUUAGUACCUCCCUGUCUUUCUGGGUCCUCCGCUCUUCCUUCCCUUAUCAGUCACAUUCCUCCACCCAUCUUUCACAGACUGGACUCCCCAUGGCAUAACUGAGUUCAGAUCCCCAUUCUGCCACUCACUGGCUGGCUGCCCCAAGCAUGUCCCUCCCUCUCAGAGCUUGUUUCCUUCUCUGGAUGAUAAAGUGUUCAGACCCACUCCACAGAGCUGUUGUAAGGACUAACAGAGCUCAGGGCCUGCCACAGUGUUGGUCCCUGUCUUCCUUCCCAGGCCCUUAAUUUCAGGAUCCUCCCUGGUGUCACCCACAGAAUCCCUCCUUAGAUCUGUGCUUAAGAUGUGAUUCUAUGGGGAUUUCUACCCCAUGUUCCUGAAGUCUGAUCACUUUACUCAGACUAUCAAUAGGGAAGAAAUAAAGGUUCAUUUAAGGUCCAGAUCUGUGUAUAAACAGAUCAUUCAACAGAGAAGAAAACAUUUUUUUAAGUAGUCGUAAUCAGAAAAAAAUGAGAGGGAUUCAGUAGGAUGAAAAAGGAGAACAAGCAGGCAAUUAGCAGAGGAAGAACAGAUUUUGAUCCUUGCAAACCUACCCCCAGGGUCUCACUGUGUCCCCCAGGCUGGAGUGCGGUAGAGUGAUCUCAGCUCAUGGCAGCCUUGACCUCCCCAGCAUAAGCCAUCCUCCCACCUCAGUCUCCCAAGUAGCUGGGACUACAGGCAUGUGCCACCACACUCUGCUAAUGUUUGACUUUUUGUAGAAACUGGGUUUUGCCAUGUUGCCCAGCCUGGUCUUGAGCUCCUGGGCUUAAGUGAUCCACCCUCCUCAGCCUCCCUCCCUCAGUGCUCACAGGCAUGAGCCACCGCGCCUGUCUCCGUACCCCCAAAUUCUUUCAAGCACAGUUCAACCCUUAUUCCCUUGGCCCAUGGAAUGGAGCAGCCUCAUGUACAGAGUGGCUUCAUAUACCUCAUCUCAGAUACUUCUAUGAAAUUAUAAAAAGAAUAAUAAUUUCUUGAAUAUAAAUUACAAAAGAUUUGUAAUUGAAUUUAAUUACAAAUUACUUUUAAAAGUAAAAAUCCUACAAAAGUCACCACCUAACUGAUGAUGUCUUGCUACUUGACCAAGGGGUACUGACCCCUGCACUGUUACAGGCAGAAUUGGAAAUGGCUCAUGCCGAGUCCCAGCCAGGUGGGCAAAAGAUACGGGCUCUGAAAUGACAGUGGGCUGAGCCCAGUCCAAUCCACACAACAGCCCAACACAAGUGGGGCUGUCACGAGCUUAAAAAGUCACUGAUCAUAGCAGCCUCGUUAGAACCUAUCCCUUCUCUUGACUCUGGCAGGUACCAGGUGAAUAUCAAGCUCUCCCUGUACUUCUGCCUGUGCCAUGGAAGCUUACUCGCCUGUCCUGUGGAAUUCCCAAAAGCCAGCUCCUCCCCAGAGCUCUCCACAACACUUCCCCUUUUCCCCUGACCCACACAGCACUUGAAGACAGGAUGUCAUAUUUGACUUUUGCUUUUAUUUUAUAAGAAUAUAACAUGCUGAAACAGGAAAAUGGGGAUUGCAAACAUCAUUCAUAUCUAGGAAAC
rnacentral:lncRNA from 10 species